rnacentral:rRNA from 1 species
UACGGGGGGAGCAAGCGUUGUUCGGAUUUACUGGGCGUAAAGGGCGCGUAGGCGGUCGUGACAAGUCACUUGUGAAAUCUCCGGGCUUAACUCGGAACGGUCAAGUGAUACUGUCGGACUAGAGUACAGAAGGGGCAACUGGAAUUCUCGGUGUAGCGGUGAAAUGCGUAGAUAUCGUAAGGAAGACCAGUGGCGAAGGCGAGUCUCUGGACAGCAACUGACGCUGAGGCACGAAGGCCAGGGGAGCAAACGGG